AAAGAAACUAAAAAAGUAGAAAAAAAUGGAGGGUCCGUGGGCUCAUUUUCGAGAUAUAAGCCAUUGAAAAUUUGGCGGGAAAUAAUUCUCUCUAGAUCUUUCAUGCAUUUAACAUUGGCACCUUAUUUGUUUCAAAAACUAUGAAAAAAUAACAAGAAUUAUAUAAAAUUUUGAAAUAUGGCUUUUUAAACUUUAUGUUAUAAAAUUAUGAAACAAAGUAGGGGUUGGUGGGCA
rnacentral:lncRNA from 1 species